CUUGCUUUUUGGGUGACGAGCGGCGGACGGGUGAGUAAUGUCUGGGAAACUGCCUGAUGGAGGGGGAUAACUACUGGAAACGGUAGCUAAUACCGCAUAACGUCGCAAGACCAAAGUGGGGGACCUUCGGGCCUCAUGCCAUCAGAUGUGCCCAGAUGGGAUUAGCUAGUAGGUGAGGUAAUGGCUCACCUAGGCGACGAUCCCUAGCUGGUCUGAGAGGAUGACCAGCCACACUGGAACUGAGACACGGUCCAGACUCCUACGGGAGGCAGCAGUGGGGAAUAUUGCACAAUGGGCGCAAGCCUGAUGCAGCCAUGCCGCGUGUAUGAAGAAGGCCUUCGGGUUGUAAAGUACUUUCAGCGAGGAGGAAGGCGAUAAGGUUAAUAACCUUGUCGAU
rnacentral:rRNA from 1 species